UACGUAGGGGCCGAGCGUUGUCCGGAGUUAUUGGGCGUAAAGCGCGCGCAGGCGGCCUCGCGCGCCCGACGUGAAAGCCCCCGGCUUAACCGGGGAGAGUCGUUGGGGACGGCGGGGCUUGAGGGCGGGAGAGGUCGGUGGAAUUCCCGGUGUAGUGGUGAAAUGCGUAGAGAUCGGGAGGAACACCUGUGGCGAAGGCGGCCGACUGGGCCGACCCUGACGCUCAGGCACGAAAGCGUGGGGAGCAAACAGG
rnacentral:rRNA from 1 species